rnacentral:lncRNA from 1 species
CCUGGGCCCCAGGUAAGCUCAGAAGGAGGAGCUGUGCCGAGGCUGCUCACCUGGCGGGACAGGGUGCUGUGGGGGAACCCAAGGAAGCCUUGGGCCAGGAUUGAUCACAACAGAAGGUUGAGAAGCUGGGAACCAAGUCAAGAGGAUGUAGGUCCCACAACAGUGUGAACCUAAAGAAAGAGGCAUUGAGAAGACAGCAAGGAGACCAGCCUGGCCAUAGCAUGAAGAACGUAAAGGAGAGCAG